GCGGGCGUGGUUUAGUGGUAAAACCUCAGCCUUCCAAGCUGAUGAUGUGGGUUCGAUUCCCACCGCCCGCU
rnacentral:tRNA from 2 species